UUUCCGUAGGUGAACCUGCGGAAGGAUCAUUAAAAAUGAAGCCGGGAAACCGGUCCUUCUAACCCUUGAUUAUCUUAAUUUGUUGCUUUGGUGGGCCGCGCAAGCACCGGCUUCGGCUGGAUCGCGCCCGCCAGAGGACACAACUCUGUAUCAAAUGUCGUCUGAGUACUAUAAAAUAGUUAAAACUUUCAACAACGGAUCUCUUGGUUCUG
rnacentral:misc_RNA from 1 species